rnacentral:misc_RNA from 1 species
GUGAAUAUUAGGGUGUCCAACUUAACUUGGAGCCCGACCCUCACUUUCUAACCCUGUGCAUUUGUCUUGGGUAGUAGCUUGCGUCAGCGAGCGAAUCCCAUUUCACUUACAAACACAAAGUCUAUGAAUGUAACAAAUUUAUAACAAAACA